UACAGAGGGUGCGAGCGUUGUUCGGAAUUAUUGGGCGUAAAGGGCGCGUAGGCGGUUUGGUAAGUCUUGUGUGAAAUCUACAGGCUCAACUUGUAGUCUGCACGAGAAACUGCCGGGCUUGAGUGUGGGAGAGGUGAGUGGAAUUCCUGGUGUAGCGGUGAAAUGCGUAGAUAUCAGGAGGAACACCUGUGGCGAAAGCGGCUCACUGGACCAUAACUGACGCUGAUGCACGAAAGCUAGGGGAGCAAACAGG
rnacentral:rRNA from 1 species